rnacentral:lncRNA from 1 species
GUGAGGCUUAAAUUAAAAUAUUGUUUGUUUGCCCUUUACCGACCGACCCUAUAAAUUCGUUCCGCCUGAAAAUCUUUUAUUUGUGUUUACAAGCAAGAUUUUAUUUUAUUUUAUUUUUUGUUCCUACCAAAAUUCUUAUCUUUGUAUUUCCCGCUCAAAACUUUUUUACCGGAAUUCUCGGGUUUUAUUUUUCCCGUAUAAGGGCUAGUCCGUUUGGUAUCACGUGAGCGUUUGACAUAAAUGAACACUUGCAUUUGGAGUUUCAAAGCAUUUGUUUGAAAUCGAUGUUGAAAGCUUUGAAAUCAUGAUUUAAUGAACGUUACUCUGUGUCUUUAUACUUGAAGAGUAGGGUUCAUUAAAAAAAAGUUCGUCCAAUACUAAAUUAUCAACGUUUUUACAAAAUAUUUUGUACACAGACUUUGUAUCCCAUGUAGGGAUGGCCUUUGGUGGUCCAUAGAUUAUGAUGAUUAUGUUAA